AUUGAACGCUGGCGGAAUGCUUUACACAUGCAAGUCGAACGGCAGCACAGGUGCUUGCACCUGGUGGCGAGUGGCGAACGGGUGAGUAAUACAUCGGAACGUACCCAGUCGUGGGGGAUAACGUAGCGAAAGUUACGCUAAUACCGCAUACGUCCUGAGGGAGAAAGCGGGGGACCGUAAGGCCUCGCGCGACUGGAGCGGACGAUGGCGGAUUAGCUAGUUGGUGGGGUAGAGGCCUACCAAGGCGACGAUCCGUAGCGGGUCUGAGAGGACGGCCCGCCACACUGGAACUGAGACACGGUCCAGACUCCUACGGGAGGCAGCAGUGGGGAAUUUUGGACAAUGGGCGAAAGCCUGAUCCAGCCAUUCCACGUGAGUGAAGAAGGCCUUCGGGUUGUAAAGCUCUUUCGGCAGGGAAGAAACGGCUUGGGAUAAUACCCCGGGCUAAUGACGGUACCUGAAGAAGAAGCACCGGCUAACUACGUGCCAGCCGCCGCCGUAA
rnacentral:rRNA from 1 species